rnacentral:rRNA from 1 species
GCCCGGAGCUUGCUCCGGUCACCUUANGGCGAACGGGUGAGUAACGCGUGGGGACCUGCCCUGUGGUGGGGAAUAACAGCUGGAAACGGCUGCUAAUACCGCAUACGCUCUACGGAGGAAAGGCUUCGGCCGCCGUUGGAGGGUCCCGCGUCCGAUUAGCUUGUUGGUAGGGUAACGGCCUACCAAGGCGACGAUCGGUAUCUGGUCUGAGAGGAUGAUCANCCACACUGGGACUGAGACACGGCCCAKACUCCUACGGGAGGCAGCAGUGGGGAAUAUUGGACAAUGGGGGAAACCCUGAUCCASCAAUGCCGCGUGAGUGAASAAGGCCUUAGGGUUGUAAAACUCUUUCACCCGUGAAGAUGAUGACGGUAGCGGGAGAAGAAGCUCCGGCUAACUCCGUGCCAGCAGCCGCGGUAAUACGGAGGGGGCAAGCGUUGCUCGGAAUUACUGGGCGUAAAGCGCGCGUASGCGGUACAUGUAGUCAGGCGUGAAAGCCCCGGGCUUAACCCGGGAACUGCGUUUGAUACUGAUGUGCUAGAAUCCGAGAGAGGGCAGUGGAAUUCCCAGUGUAGAGGUGAAAUUCGUAGAUAUUGGGAAGAACACCAGAGGCGAAGGCGGCUGCCUGGCUCGGUAUUGACGCUGAGGUGCGAAAGCGUGGGGAGCGAACAGGAUUAGAUACCCUGGUAGUCCACGCCGUAAACGAUGAGUGCUAGUUGUCGGGCAGCUCGCUGUUCGGUGACGUNG